rnacentral:rRNA from 1 species
UACGUAGGGGGCAAGCGUUGUCCGGAAUCAUUGGGCGUAAAGCGCGUGUAGGCGGCUUGAUAAGUCCGCUCUGAAAGCCCGGGGCUCAACCCCGGGAGGCGGGUGGAUACUGUCAAGCUCGAGUCCGGAAGAGGCGAGUGGAAUUCCUGGUGUAGCGGUGAAAUGCGCAGAUAUCAGGAAGAACACCCGUGGCGAAGGCGGCUCUCUGGGACGGUACUGACGCUGAGACGCGAAAGCGUGGGGAGCGAACAGG